rnacentral:rRNA from 1 species
GACGAACGCUGGCGGCGUGCUUAACACAUGCAAGUCGAACGGAAAGGCCCUGCUUUUGUGGGGUACUCGAGUGGCGAACGGGUGAGUAACACGUGAGUAACCUGCCCUUGACUUUGGGAUAACUUCAGGAAACUGGGGCUAAUACCGGAUAGGAGCUCCUGCUGCAUGGUGGGGGUUGGAAAGUUUCGGCGGUUGGGAUGGACUCGCGGCUUAUCAGCUUGUUGGUGGGGUAGUGGCUUACCAAGGCUUUGACGGGUAGCCGGCCUGAGAGGGUGACCGGCCACAUUGGGACUGAGAUACGGCCCAGACUCCUACGGGAGGCAGCAGUGGGGAAUAUUGCACAAUGGGCGGAAGCCUGAUGCAGCAACGCCGCGUGCGGGAUGACGGCCUUCGGGUUGUAAACCGCUUUCGCCUGUGACGAAGCGUGAGUGACGGUAAUGGGUAAAGAAGCACCGGCUAACUACGUG